UACGUAGGGUGCAAGCGUUGUCCGGAAUUAUUGGGCGUAAAGAGCUCGUAGGCGGUUUGUCGCGUCUGGUGUGAAAAUCCAGGGCUUAACCCUGGACCUGCAUCGGGUACAGGCAGACUAGAGUGCGGUAGGGGAGAUCGGAAUUCCUGGUGUAGCGGUGAAAUGCGCAGAUAUCAGGAGGAACACCGGUGGCGAAGGCGGAUCUCUGGGCCGUAACUGACGCUGAGGAGCGAAAGCAUGGGGAGCGAACAGG
rnacentral:rRNA from 1 species